rnacentral:rRNA from 1 species
GAUCAUGGCUCAGGAUGAACGCUAGCGACAGGCUUAACACAUGCAAGUCGAGGGGCAGCAUGAUUUGUAGCAAUACAGAUUGAUGGCGACCGGCGCACGGGUGAGUAACGCGUAUGCAACUUACCUAUCAGAGGGGGAUAGCCCGGCGAAAGUCGGAUUAAUACCCCAUAAAACAGGGGUCCCGCAUGGGGAUAUUUGUUAAAGAUUCAUCGCUGAUAGAUAGGCAUGCCG